CAAUAGCGUAUAUUAAAGUUGUUGCAGUUAAAAAGCUCGUAGUUGGAUUUCUGGCAGGAGCGACCGGUCACGCACUCUGUGCGUGAACUUGUGUUGUCUCUGGCCAUCCUUGGGGAGAUCCUGUUUGGCAUUAAGUUGUCGGGCAGGGGAUACCCAUCGUUUACUGUGAAAAAAUUAGAGUGUUUAAAGCAGGCGUACGCCUUGAAUACAUUAGCAUGGAAUAAUGAGAUAGGACCUUGGUUCUAUUUUGUUGGUUUCUAGAGCUGAGGUAAUGAGUUAAUAGGGAGUAGUUGGGGGCAUUCGUAUUUAAUUGUCAGAAGGUGAAAUUCUUUGGAUUACGGUCAAAGACUAACUUAU
rnacentral:rRNA from 1 species